rnacentral:lncRNA from 1 species
GAGGCAGAGACAGGAGGACUGCUGAUUAACCAUCCUAGCCUAACUGAUACUACCCCAUGACAGGACCUGGGAGAGCAAAAGCAAAGCCUUGGAAUCCCUGUGAGUUAUCCAUGAUCUCACGAAAUGCCGGACAGACGCAACCUAAUAAAGAAAAGAAGACAUACUUUGGCCCACAGUUUAAGGAUUUGGGGAUACCACCACCGUGGCUGCAGUAGCUUGAGAUAGUUAGCCAAGCACUGCAUCUGCAGCCGGGAAGCAGAGAGAUGGACGCCUGUGCUCAGCCUGCUUUGCUUUGCCUGGUCCAGGACCGCAGCUGAUCUCAAGCACCCCUACAGUUAGGGUGGGCUGGGUCUCCCCAUCUCUGUUAACCAAAUCUAGAAACUCUACCACAGACAUGCCUAGAUGCUUAUUUCCCAGGUCACUCUACUCCUGUCAAGCUGACGAACUAAUGACUGUAUUUUUACACUGGGUGGCAUCCAGACCAACAUGCUGGGCAUGUGGUUAGCAAAACUCUCCUAGAGCUCACUUCUCUCCUGUUUCCUUCCUAGACAGGCUUCCAAGUGUAACUGGCUUGACCCACGCUACCAUCUCGUCAGCAAGAACGCACGCAGGACACUCGGAUCCGUCUGCAGUAAAGCUUUAAUGAAUCUCAAGAGAUAGAUGAUCAGCUUCAGGAGAGGAGACCCAGAGAGCAGAAAACCCUUCCCUUAUAUAGGCUGCGAAGUAAGUUUGGAGACGUGCACUAGCCGGAUUGGCUGCCCACCAUCAGCCAGAUGACGCCAUGGGAGAGGCAGGGCUCAGGUAAUGGAAAGAUACCCUGACGCCUGCGCACACUACUUGUUUUUCACCACGAGCAACAGAUGUCAGCGCCAUUUUGUAAUGGCGACCGUGAGGGCGGCUCCUCACACUGGCUAGUUUUGUGUCAACUUGACACAGCUGGAGUU